AAAGGAAUAGACGGGGGCCCGCACAAGCGGUGGAGCAUGUUGGUUAAUUGGAUGAUACGCCAAGAACCUUACCAGGGCUUGACAUGUUCCUGACAGCCUGCGAAAGCAGGUCUUCCUCGCAAGAGGACAGGAGCACAGGUGGUGCAUGGUUGUCGACAGCUCGUGUCGUGAGAUGUUGGGUUAAGUCCCGCAACGAGCGCAACCCUCACCGAAUGUUGCCAGCGGAUAAUGCCGGGGACUCUUUCGGGACUGCCUGAGUAAUCAGGAGGAAGGGGGGGACGACGUCAAAUCGGCAUGCCCCUUAUGUCCUGGGCUGCAAACGUGCUACAAUGGCCGGCUACAAAGGGAAGCCAAGCCGCGAGGUGGAGCUAAUCCUCAAAGUCGGUCCCAGUUGGGAUUGGAUCUCUGCAACUCGAGUCCAUGAACGUGGAAUCGCUAGUAAUCGCGGAUCAGCAAUGCCGCGGUGAAUACGUUCCCGGGCCUUGUACACACCGCCCGU
rnacentral:rRNA from 1 species